GUUGCUACGGAGUCCACCUGAUUCAGUGGUCAAAGACUGUGUCUCUUUUUCCUCUGUGUUUCAGUUCUUCCGGUGCAGGCUGAGCACCUCUCCAUGUCACAGAGCAUAGAAGAGCCAACUCUCCUGCCUCCCGGGACUGACCUGCCCCAUCUGCAUUGUCUUUACAGACCAGGAACAAGGAAAUACGUGGAGCUGGAGAGUGAACAGGAACUUGAAAACGCACAGACUUUUAAAGACAGUGGAAAAUACCCAGAGGAGAAGGAUUCUCAGAGCUAACACCUGGGCUUGUCACGAUUCUCUUAAGAGCCAAAUUUGAGCCCCACCGCAAUCAUGUAAAUGAACAAACAGGAUGAAUGAGAUCAAUAGCCCGCGUGUGCUUUACAGAAUCACGGCAAGGAAGAUUACUUAAGUAAAUAAAGAGCCCUGUUGCUCUGUUGCUAGGACA
rnacentral:lncRNA from 1 species